UAAGGAAUAUUGGUCAAUGGGCGGAAGCCUGAACCAGCCAUGCCGCGUGCAGGAAGACGGCCCUACGGGUUGUAAACUGCUUUUAUACGGGAAUAAACCUCACUACGUGUAGUGAGCUGAAUGUACUGUAAGAAUAAGGAUCGGCUAACUCCGUGCCAGCAGCCGCGGUAAUACGGAGGAUCCAAGCGUUAUCCGGAUUUAUUGGGUUUAAAGGGUGCGUAGGCGGCCUGUUAAGUCAGGGGUGAAAGACGGUAGCUUAACUAUCGCAGUGCCCUUGAUACUGAUGGGCUUGAAUAUACUUGAGGUAGGCGGAAUGUGACAAGUAGCGGUGAAAUGCAUAGAUAUGUCACAGAACACCAAUUGCGAAGGCAGCUUACUAAGGUAUGAUUGACGCUGAGGCACGAAAGCGUGGGGAUCAAACA
rnacentral:rRNA from 1 species